UGGCUGAGAUAUGGGGGACCUGGCUGCCGGCUGCAUGGUGUUGAUGGAGGAGGAGGGGGAGGGGGGGGCGCUGCUGCCCCCUGUGGACAUAUGAGCCAGCACCUCGGCAGCAAAGGCAUCAUCAAGGGUGUCUGCAAUGUGCAAGCGUCAUGAGAUGACRUCAUGUCACAGAUCAAGGAUUGCAACUCAYGCUGCRUCAAACGUCACACUUUUUUCGGCCUUYACAGUGCGGAAGGUGUCGUUUCAGUCGGCAUGGAGACUCCAGGCAUGCACCUYAGUACACCMACCCWYAGACACACCCAUCUGCAUUGUGACUUCACAAAGAUGCACAGGAGCACGCAACRCUUGCUAGCCACCRGAACUUCCUACCUUGCUCAUCCAUUCCACUGUCAUCCUCAGCCAAGGCUCUCAGCUCCAUCAUCUGCAGCCAGCCGCGCACCUCUGAGGCAUG
rnacentral:lncRNA from 1 species